rnacentral:tRNA from 1 species
GCCUUCAUGGUGUAAUGGUUAGCACACUCAGCAUAUUCGAGAGGUCCAUGGUUCGAGUCCUAGUGAGGGCA